rnacentral:tRNA from 1 species
UUAAUUGAAGCCAAAGUACUGAGGCAUUCUAUUGUUAAUAGAAUUAAUGAUAAAAAAAUCCAAUUAAU